CCUACGGGUGAGCUGCAGUGGGGGAGAUUGGACAAUGGGGGGAACCCUGAUCCAGCGACGCAGGGGGAGUGAAGAAGUAUUGCGGGAUGUAAAGCGCUGUCAGCAGGGAAGAAAGAAAGGACGGUACCUGACCAAGAAGCCACGGCGAACUACGUGCCAGCAGCCGCGGUAAGACGUAGGGGGCAAGCGUUAUCCGGAAUUACUGGGUGUAAAGGGAGCGUAGACGGUGACGUACGUCGGGCGUGAAAGGCCGGGGCCCACCCCCGGGACUGCUCUUGAAACUAUUGACCUUGAGUGCAGGAGAGGUAAGCGGUAUUCCUAGUGUAGCGGUGAACUGCGUAGCUCU
rnacentral:rRNA from 1 species